rnacentral:misc_RNA from 1 species
UCAUAUGAACACAGUGCCCUAA